ensembl:lncRNA
GAAGAGGAAGAGGAAGAGGAAGAGGAAGAAGAGUUAACAUUCCUUGUGCUGGCAGCUGAACCCAGUAAUGUGUAAGAGUCUCCCAGGUGGUAACGGUUACGGCUUGGCACUAGAAGAGGCCAUUGGUAAAGGUAAAGCCUCAGAUGCAGUGGAAACCCCAGAAUUGAAGGAUCAUGGAGAGAAGUUGAAGCUUAUACCAUAUUGCCAGAUCAGUCCACUGAAGACAGCUUAAAGAGAAGCUGUUGAUGAAAGUGCAGCUUGGUUCCAGCAGGGAUCCUGGUAUUUUGGAGAUGCCAGACCAUGAAGUGACAACCAAGGACAGCAGCAGCAAUGGAGUAGAGCCAACCUGAGCCUAGGAGACAAUCUUUAUUUGCUGCUUGUGGUAGAACAAGAGAAUUAGAACUGCUUAGGCCUUCUGGAGCCCAGCAGGUCAUGACUGAAUCCCAGAGACUGCCUUUAGCGCUUCUUAACAUUGUCCAUGGCCAUUACAACAUCAAAAAGAGGCCUGAGCCAAACGCUCUUCACAGGAAACUGGUGUGGGGCUGCGAACUGUGGAAUGAUGUUGCCCAUGGCUCUUCUACUUCCAUUUAUGCUGUAGCUACUCCCUCAUCGCGUGCCCAGAAACUUCCAGAAAAUGCUUUCCUUGGUGAUUCUGGGUCCCUGUCAGUUACCACCGCCAUUACAGUAUGACAACUGUUUUCUUUUCUCCCUCUAUGCACUCUGGACAUGGCUUCUUCUACUUUACUCCCCAC